UAAUGUUAACAGCCUUUUUAAACUCAUAAAUUUUUUUAUGCCACAUAAAAGUUUGAUCAAAGGCUGAGAUGGUUGUGAGAAAGGUCUAAGUGCUUGUUGCUAGUUAUAACGUUUCCUUUAUAAAAAAAUUUUUUAAUACAUUUUGGAGAGGUUUUUAAUUUGAUUGAAAAAAAAGCAUGAUUAGUGACAACUAUUUUAGAUUGGACAAAUGAUGGAUACAAGUUCAUUUGGAGCGAGUGCGAUUAAAGUUUAUUUGCAAGUUUUCUUUUUGUUACUUUUCAAUGAGAUACCAUGAUAAGAUGUGACUGGUAUAUUUUGUUUUUGUCUUCAAGAACCAUGAUAAGAUGUGACUGGUGUAAAAUUUGUAAUCUUGAUCUUGGCUGUGUUUCAUCAAGUAUUCACAAACUCCUGAAGAUCUCUGCUAUACUCAGGAAAUGUAAUAAAAAAAGUAUUGUAAACUUAUAAGCAUAUAAAUAAAAAUGAUUUAAAGUAA